rnacentral:rRNA from 1 species
UGGGGAAUUUUGGACAAUGGGGGAAACCCUGAUCCAGCCAUCCCGCGUGUGCGAUGAAGGCCUUCGGGUUGUAAAGCACUUUUGGCAGGAAAGAAACGUCAUGGGUUAAUACCCCGUGAAACUGACGGUACCUGCAGAAUAAGCACCGGCUAACUACGUGCCAGCAGCCGCGGUAAUACGUAGGGUGCAAGCGUUAAUCGGAAUUACUGGGCGUAAAGCGUGCGCAGGCGGUUCGGAAAGAAAGAUGUGAAAUCCCAGAGCUCAACUUUGGAACUGCAUUUUUAACUUCAGGGCUAGAGUGUGUCAGAGGGAGGUGGAAUUCCGCGUGUAGCAGUGAAAUGCGUAGAUAUGCGGAGGAACACCGAUGGCGAAGGCAGCCUCCUGGGAUAACACUGAAGCUCAUGCACGAAAGCGUGGGGAGCAAACAGG